CUACGGGGUGCUGCAGUGGGGAAUAUUGGGCAAUGGGCGCAAGCCUGACCCAGCAACGCCGCGUGAGGGAAGAAGGUUUUCGGAUUGUAAACCUCUGUCCUUGGGGACGAAGAAGUGACGGUACCCAAGGAGGAAGCUCCGGCUAACUACGUGCCAGCAGCCGCGGUAAUACGUAGGGAGCAAGCGUUGUCCGGAAUUACUGGGCGUAAAGGGUGCGUAGGCGGCAUAUUAAGUCAGGUGUGAAAUACUCGGGCUCAACCCGAGGGGUGCAUUUGAAACUGAUAAGCUUGAGUGUGAGAGAGGAAAGUGGAAUUCCUAGUGUAGCGGUGGAAUGCGUAGAUAUUAGGAGGAACACCAGUGGCGAAGGCGACUUUCUGGCUCAUAACUGACGCUGAGGCACGAAAGCGUGGGGAGCAAACAGGAUUAGAUACCCUGGUAGUC
rnacentral:rRNA from 1 species